UGGCUCCUCAUCACACAGUAUCUGCACC
rnacentral:piRNA from 1 species